UACGUAUGGUGCAAGCGUUAUCCGGAUUUACUGGGUGUAAAGGGAGCGCAGGCGGUGCGGCAAGUCUGAUGUGAAAGCCCGGGGCUCAACCCCGGUACUGCAUUGGAAACUGUCGUACUAGAGUGUCGGAGGGGUAAGCGGAAUUCCUAGUGUAGCGGUGAAAUGCGUAGAUAUUAGGAGGAACACCAGUGGCGAAGGCGGCUUACUGGACGAUAACUGACGCUGAGGCUCGAAAGCGUGGGGAGCAAACAGG
rnacentral:rRNA from 3 species